UAUACAAGCAUCUAAAGCCGAAUUACUGUUCAUUCAACUGUUCUAGACACUGUUCAUUUUGAAGUGGCGGUUUUGGCCAUCGUUUUUGUCUCAAUUACAGUUUGCAAUUACUUUUUGCACUGUGGUCUGUUUCUGCGUGGCUCUGUUUGCUUGCUCCACGAACAGAGAGGCAAAAAGGAUCGAGAGAGCCAGACAGGGCAAGAAGGAUCGAGAGUGUGCAGGUGUGUUUCUUUGCUUUGUGCGGAGAGAGAGAGAGGAGAUAUUCAGGAUCGAGAGAGUGCAGGUUUCACUCUUUGUGCAGGUAUUCUUUUCUUUUUUGGCAGUCUGUGUUUAAUCCGGAUUUUGUGCAUAUUGAAGGGGGAGAGGUUUGGACUGGAAACAAAGAAAACGACGAAUCUUGGUAUUAUUGCUGGUGUGGCUGCUCUGGUUUUUGGAUUCAAUGAGUUGCCUGAAGUGGGUUGGAGGGUGAAGAGGGUCUCAUCACUGAACGGUUCUGAAGCGGAGGAGAAGAAUGGCAAGAAAUAGUUAAUCUUUAUGUGAAUGAGAUACCCCAAAGUUUACCAACAUUUAGGAAUCUCAAUCAAUUGAACUUGGACCUCUUUUCAUACUGAAGUAAAAGUGAAGAUGUUGAUCGGGUGCCUGAUUCCAAAUUCUAACAAGACUGAUCGGGCUUCAAUGCUGGAUGAGGCAAUUGAGUAUUUGAAGCAGCUCCAGCUUUAAGUACAGAGGGGAGAAAGGAAGAAACAGAACAAGAAGGAGAAAGGAAGAAACAGAACAACGGGAAGGACAGAAGAGGCAGAGAUAUCCAACAGAGGAGAAGAACUGCUCUACUUCACAGAUUCAAGGCAC